rnacentral:rRNA from 1 species
AGUAAUACAUAAGUAACCUGCCCUAGACAGGGGGAUAACUAUUGGAAACGAUAGCUAAGACCGCAUAGGUACGGACACUGCAUGGUGACCGUAUUAAAAGUGCCUCAAAGCACUGGUAGAGGAUGGACUUAUGGCGCAUUAGCUGGUUGGCGGGGUAACGGCCCACCAAGGCGACGAUGCGUAGCCGACCUGAGAGGGUGGCCGGCCACACUGGGACUGAGACACGGCCCAG